UAUACAAAUAAGCUAUAGGCCUAUAACACGCAUUGUCAUGGCAAUGUAGGCUAACGCAGUCUGGACUACUACUUCUGGACCCACUCUCUCUCUCCCUUCCUUGAAACUGUUAAAAACUUCCGUCACCCCAAGUUGACCCCAGAUACACGGAGGAUACACGAGUUUGCCGUUUAUUUUAGGCUAACGUUAGUGGAGAGUUUGCAGAUUUUUACCUUGUGGAUGUUGAUAUUGCACGAGUCUCUUGGAUAGCAGCAGCAAGGUAAACUCCCUCGCAUCAACAAUCUGCCCUGAGACGGUGAACAACUGGCUUCAGGUUCAGUUCAUCUUUAACCUCACCCUUCUGGCCAUGCUGCGAAACUUGGAUGAUGAAGCCAAAGCUGAUUGGAAAAGUUCUCUUGCUAAAGUGGUGCAUGCUUUCAAUUGUACCCGCAAUGAAUCCACUGGAUAUGCACCCUAUUACCUCCCCUUUGGAUUGCCCAUUGAUCUCAUGUUUGGCAUUCCACCAAGUGAUGGCAGCGCAUCCCAUCAAGAGUAUGCAAAGAAAUGGAGAAGAAGGAUGGAAGAGGCUUACCAGUUUAGCUUCCAAGGCGACAAAGGUAGACCAGAGUAUUUCAUCGGAAUCUGCUGCUCCCCUUUGAUUUCCUGCCAGUGGAGAUGGACACUCCAGAAAAGAAUAGAGGUGAGAAGCAACACAAACAGAAAAAGUCACGACCAACACAGUACACGGAACCCGAGUCUUCAUCUGACAGUGAAGAGGAUGAAUGGAGAUGCAUCUCUGGAUGGUCCCAAGGAGAUUCCCCCAGACAAACCUGGAGCAACCUCAGAGCGGAUGCUACAGAGUUCCAGCCUCAGACGGCAGCACCAGCACUUGAGGGAGACGACGGGAUGGAAAGACAGAACCUGUGGACAUCAGAUGCAGACGGAGACCAGGACGACAUGAUUAAGACUGAGCUAGAACAGGAGGUGCCUGUGACAGCAGGUGCAGCUGAAUAGACAGAGGAUGCUGAGCUUGAGACAGCAAGCCACAACGAGGAAGAGAUGUCUCCACCAUCUUCACCACCUGCAAGACAAUAUCCUUUUAGAACUAGAACUGCACCUAAAACAUUCACAUAUGAUCGGUUGGGACAGCCCACAUUUAGUUAAAAUAGUUGUUUUACAGCUUUAGAGUAGAAAUGUAUGGUUCCUGCCAUUCAGUUAUAGUAUGGAUGUAGAAGUCCAUGUUAAAGUAAUUGAUUUAAGAUAUGUUGGGACAAGAACCUGUUUAAAUAGAGCUUCUUUGAGUUAAUAUAGGCCUACAAGAAAAUGUUCAUACAUUUAGAAUCACAUACUGAAGGAUUACUGACAAGUGGCUGUUGUAAGGUAAUGUGUUUAGAUACGAGUAGUCGGAAAAAGACUUGCAACACAGAAGAGACAAGUGGUUAGAUUUUGGGUAAAUAGGAUGUAUGAGGUGUGAGAUUCUAGGUGAUUGUACUACAGGUCAAAGGUCAUGCCCAUGCCAGUCAAGAUGAGCUUCCUGUGAAUACAGCGGAGGAAAUUGUUGGGUGUCGUAGUGCACAAUGACACCCACUGUUUAACACAUAACAUGUAAAAAGAGAUGUGUGUUUUGUGAAAUCUGUCAUCAGAUAUGUAUCUUGAAUUCUGGACUCUAACCUGUUAGCAAUUAAACUGUUCAGACAGAAUCAACUGGGACUGGAAAUGUCAGGACAUUUAGUUAAGCAGGGGAGAGUGUAGUGUACACCCCAUGAUAUGUUCUAUUUUUUUUUGUUGUGUUCAUUCCAACAUGUUAGACUUUUAAGAUAGUCACGAUGAGGUUACCAUUUUUGUCCAGUAGGUGGCAAUGCAGGAUUAUUAAUGACGUAAUUCAUGUAGUUAAGUGAAGAGAGGAAAACGAAACUUGGAGAGGAAAAUGAAACUUAAGAGAGUAACGAGACAAAGAGAACAACGUGGUAAUGAAAACGGAAUGUAAUUCAUGAAGGAGUUUGAAAUAAACAAACAACUUUCGACACA